ensembl:lncRNA
CUACACUCCGUGUUGCAACAUAUGUCUUUUAAAAACACAUAAACGGCACCGCUAAAACAGAGCUUGAUGACAUGUGGUUUUGAGAUCCAUCCAGUUCAGAACAAGACACCUCAACAGCAACUCUAAAGCCUCUAGCUGAAUCCGGAAUUAUUCAAGGGCUGAGGUGUUGUGUGUACAUGUCCGACCUGCAGAUCAGGAUAACUGCAGAAACUUUUGAGCUGCAGGUUAGCGGAUCUCCAGUCGGAUCCUUCAAUAUGUCAUGUGAGGAACCCCAAAAGGGGUGGUGUUUCCGUAUGGCAGAGUAUGGCAGUUGCCAUAGCCCAGUCAGUGAUUCAGUGUGCUAUGGGAUUGUUUUAUCAAUUUAUCAACCCCCCCCCACCCCAAUCCCCCCUCCCUACUCACCAAAUCCCAUGGUUUUGUGAAACGCCGCCACAGAGUUCCCUGGAGUAUGUGAAAAAUGAAGCGCACAUGCAGCACAAGUCCAGAAGAACAUCCAAACAGCUUCAGAGCUGUGUAAACAUGAAACACAGAAAAGAUGGAAGUAUCUGAAUGAAGUCUGAAUGUGGAUUUAAAUAAACAUCUGUGGAGUGG